rnacentral:lncRNA from 1 species
AGCACAAAAGGAGCCCUAAGGGGCAUGGGUGCUGUUAUAAAAAGCCCACAAUCGCGAAAAACCCCCUGCAGUUCAAACUGCACGAAAUCUGCCUCCUUGUACCGGUACACGGGCUCUUGUACUGGUACAAGGCCGACGAAAUUGCAAACCCGAGGCUCGGGUCGCGGGGUCUGCGGCUCUGUACCGGUACAAGCCCGAUGGCUGUACCGGUACAACCAUCAACCCUUGUACCGGUACAAGACCAGUCUUGUUCCGAUACAAGCCCUGCUGCAGGCUAUCCGAGGGCUG